GAUUAUAUAAAUAAAUCUACCAUUCGUAUUUCUAAUUAUCUUGAAUAUAAGAAAUAUAAUGAUUUCCACCAAUUCUCUCUCUAUAUAUAACUGAUUCUGUCUUGCGGUUUUUACUUCUCAAAUAAUUAUUAAUACCAAAAGUUUACAAAAGCACAUUCUCACGAACUUGAGUUCCUGACAUGUGUUCAGGAAACUACCAAAAGAAACUACCAUUUAAUAAGCAUCUUCUUCCUCCAAGACUAAUGAUAUUCCACCGCGAUAUUAUACUUAUCCUGACAUUAAUAUACUAUCAUGUGCACAAAAAGAUGAUGGUAACUUGUGUCAGCUUACAGCAUAGUAUCAUAAUACACCACAAUGUUUAUACUCAGGGAACACCAUUUUUGAAUUUAACGUUUUUCGAUUACUGUUAAUAAAGAGGUAUUAUUUUAGUUACAACCGUAACUGAAUAAGAAAUUGAAUUCUAAUGAAAAAAAUUAUAUGUAUUAAACAAGGAUUAGUAAGUGUUUCAGAUUAACCUGCGUUCAAGAAGAGAUUCAAAGAGACAGAUAACUUUCGUUGAUAGAUAACCAUUCAACACGUUGGCUUCCAUAUCAUCCCUUAUGGACCAGUCAGGAUCUAAGGAAUAUAAAAUGUAGGGAA
rnacentral:lncRNA from 1 species